AUAUUUGUACCUAGGCUACAAAAAGUACAUGGCCUGUCACUCAAAAGUUGUUGAGGGAGGAGAUUCGGGACGGGAGCAACCGUUAUUUUUCCCCUUAACGUUGUUCAUCUCACUCAUCAAGGAAUGGCGCAACUUUCAGUGAGGAGCUUGGUCAAAGAUUGCGAUCUUUGGCUUGGUGUGAGAAAACACAUGUGCAGGAUGGAAUAAUCUUUGUGGAAGAGGAGGCAAAGCUAUUCAGAGAUACCCACCAAGGCAGAAUAUGCCACUUGGAAGUAAGCUUACCUUUCCUAAAGGAUCUAAUGACUACCUUUUCAGUGACGGCUAUUGCUGAACCAUCAGCUCUGGU